GCCAGGUGUGGUGGUGUGCACCUGUAGUCCCAACUGGUUAGGAGGAUGAGGCAGGGGGACUGCUUGAGCCCAGUCUGGGGUCAGCCUGGGCAACACAGUGAGACACAUCUCUU
rnacentral:sRNA from 1 species